GAUGAACGCUGGCGGCGUGCCUAAUACAUGCAAGUCGAGCGAACGGACGAGAAGCUUGCUUCUCUGAUGUUAGCGGCGGACGGGUGAGUAAAACGUGGAUAACCUACCUAUAAGACUGGGAUAACUUCGGGAAACCGUAGCUAAUACCGGAUAAUAUUUUGAACCGCAUGGUUCAAAAGUGAAAGACGGUCUUGCUGUCACUUAUAGAUGGAUCCGCGCUGCAUUAGCUAGUUGGUAAGGUAACGGCUUACCAAGGCAACGAUGCAUAGCCGACCUGAGAGGGUGAUCGGCCACACUGGAACUGAGACACGGUCCAGACUCCUACGGGAGGCAGCAGUAGGGAAUCUUCCGCAAUGGGCGAAAGCCUGACGGAGCAACGCCGCGUGAGUGAUGAAGGUCUUCGGAUCGUAAAACUCUGUUAUUAGGGAAGAACAUAUGUGUAAGUAACUGUGCACAUCUUGACGGUACCUAAUCAGAAAGCCACGGCUAACUACGU
rnacentral:rRNA from 1 species